rnacentral:rRNA from 1 species
UACGGAGGGUGCAAGCGUUAUCCGGAAUCACUGGGUUUAAAGGGUGCGUAGGCGGUCUGAUAAGUCAGUCGUGAAAUCGCUGGGCUCAACCCAUGCAAUUGCGAUUGAUACUGCCAGACUUGAAUGGGGUUGAGGCUAGCGGAAUGCGGCAUGUAGCGGUGAAAUGCUUAGAUAUGCCGCAGAACACCGAUUGCGAAGGCAGCUAGCUGGGCCCUUAUUGACGCUGAGGCACGAAAGCGUGGGGAGCAAACAGG